CAGUAGCCGCGGGAACACGAAGGGUGCAAGCGUUAAUCGGAAUUACUGGGCGUAAAGGGUGCGUAGGCGGUUUGUUAAGUCAGAUGUGAAAUCCCCGAGCUUAAUUUGGGAACUGCAUUUGAAACUGGCAAGCUAGAGUCUUGUAGAGGGGGGUAGAAUUCCAGGUGUAGCGGUGAAAUGCGUAGAGAUCUGGAGGAAUACCGGUGGCGAAGGCGGCCCCCUGGACAAAGACUGACGCUCAGGUGCGAAAGCGUGGGGAGCAAACAGGAUUAGAUACCCGCGUAGUCCCUGUCUCUUAUAC
rnacentral:rRNA from 1 species